rnacentral:ncRNA from 12 species
CUCUAAUAUCAUUUUUGAUGUAUAAGGUUUAAGGAUCUUUGCCAAUAAAGUAUUAGAUAUUAAAGAAGUCUAUUCCUUCCUAUAAAUUGGUAAAAAUGAAUAAAAUUUUAGUGUAAAUCUGGUAGAGAACGAAAGAAACAUUAAAAU